AGUUGUUGCAGUUAAAAAGCUCGUAGUCGGAUGUCGGGCUCGGGCAGGCUGUCGGCUUCGGUCGGACGGCAGGCUCGGGUCUUUCUGCCUGAGGAUCCCGUUGCACUUAAUUGUGGGGCGUGGGGACGCAGGCCGUUUACUUUGAAAAAAUUAGAGUGUUCAAAGCAGGCCUACGCUUGAAUACAUUAGCAUGGAAUAAUGGAAUAGGACUUUGGUGCUAUUUUGUUGGUUUAUGGGACCGAAGUAAUGAUUAACAGGGACAGUUGGGGCCGUUUAUAUUUCGUUGUCAGAGGUGAAAUUCUUGGAUUUACGAAAGAUAAACUUCUGCGAAAGCAUUCGGCAAGGAUGUUUUCAUUGAUCAAGAACGAAAGUUAGGGGAUCGAAGACGAUCAGAUACCGUCGUAGUCUUAACCAUAAACUAUGCCGACUAGGGAUCAGUGGAUGUCAAUUUGCGACUCCAUUGGCACCUUGUGAGAAAUCAAAGUUUUUGGGUUCCGGGGGGAGUAUGGUCGCAAGGCUGAAACUUAAAGGAAUUGACGGAAGGGCACCAUCANGAGUGGAGCCUGCGGCUUAAUUUGACUCAACACGGGGAAACUUACCAGGUCCAGACAUAGUAAGGAUUGACAGAUUGAAAGCUCUUUCUUGAUUCUAUGGGUGGUGGUGCAUGGC
rnacentral:rRNA from 1 species